GACGAACGCUGGCGGCGUGCCUAAUACAUGCAAGUCGAGCGGACAGAAGGGAGCUUGCUCCCGGAAGUUAGCGGCGGACGGGUGAGUAACACGUGGGCAACCUACCCUGUAGAUCGGGAUAACAUCGAGAAAUCGGUGCUAAUACCGGAUAAUCAUUUGAAGUGCAUGCUUCGAAUGUAAAAGAUGGCUCCGGCUAUCACUACGGGAUGGGCCCGCGGCGCAUUAGCUAGUUGGUAAGGUAAUGGCUUACCAAGGCAACGAUGCGUAGCCGACCUGGGAGGGUGAUCGGCCACACUGAGACUGAGACACGGCCCAGACUCCUACGGGAGGCAGCAGUAGGGAAUCUUCCGCAAUGGACGAAAGUCUGACGGAGCAACGCCGCGUGAGUGAUGAGGGUUUUCGGAUCGUAAAGCUCUGUUGUUAGGGAAGAACAAGUGCCGUUUGAAUAAGGCGGCACCUUGACGGUACCUAACCAGAAAGCCACGGCUAACUACGUGCCAGCAGCCGCCGCCGUAA
rnacentral:rRNA from 1 species